rnacentral:lncRNA from 1 species
CCCAUCAGAGAACCAAACAUAUCCUGCAUCGCUAUCAUCUUAUUUGUGAGAUCGUCAAUUGAGGUGACGUCGAGCUGUUGAAGAUUGAUGGAAAGAAAAACCUAGCCAACCCCUUUACUAAAGCUCUCGGGAUCAAAGAGUUUGAUGACCACAAGUGGAAGAUGGAUAUUAGAUACAGUCUUGAUUGGCUUUAGUCCCAAUGAGAGUUAUUGG